UACGGAGGGUGCGAGCGUUAUCCGGAUUUAUUGGGUUUAAAGGGUGCGCAGGCGGGCUGAUCAGUCAGUGGUGAAACCCCGGGGCUCAACUCCGGAGCUGCCAUUGAUACUGUCAGUCUUGAAUUCGGUUGAAGUGGGCGGAAUGUGUCAUGUAGCGGUGAAAUGCAUAGAUAUGACACAGAACACCGAUCGCGAAGGCAGCUCACUAAGCCGACAUUGACGCUCAUGCACGAAAGCGUGGGGAGCGAACAGG
rnacentral:rRNA from 1 species